rnacentral:rRNA from 1 species
AAACUGCGAAUGGCUCAUUAAAUCAGUUAUCGUUUAUUUGAUAGUACCUUACUACAUGGAUAACCGUGGUAAUUCUAGAGCUAAUACAUGCUAAAAACCCCGACUUCGGAAGGGGUGUAUUUAUUAGAUAAAAAACCAAUGCCCUUCGGGGCUCCUUGGUGAAUCAUAAUAACUUAACGAAUCGCAUGGCCUUGCGCCGGCGAUGGUUCAUUCAAAUUUCUGCCCUAUCAACUUUCGAUGGUAGGAUAGUGGCCUACCAUGGUAUCAACGGGUAACGGGGAAUUAGGGUUCUAUUCCGGAGAGGGAGCCUGAGAAACGGCUACCACAUCCAAGGAAGGCAGCAGGCGCGCAAAUUACCCAAUCCCGACACGGGGAGGUAGUGACAAUAAAUACUGAUACAGGGCUCUUUUGGGUCUUGUAAUUGGAAUGAGUACAAUUUAAAUCCCUUAACGAGGAACAAUUGGAGGGCAAGUCUGGUGCCAGCAGCCGCGGUAAUUCCAGCUCCAAUAGCGUAUAUUAAAGUUGUUGCAGUUAAAAAGCUCGUAGUUGAACCUUGGGCCUGGCUGGCCGGUCCGCCUCACCGCGUGUACUGGUCCGGCCGGGCCUUUCCUUCUGGGGAGCCGCAUGCCCUUCACUGGGCGUGUCGGGGAACCAGGACUUUUACUUUGAAAAAAUUAGAGUGUUCAAAGCAGGCCUUUGCUCGAAUACAUUAGCAUGGAAUAAUAGAAUAGGACGUGCGGUUCUAUUUUGUUGGUUUCUAGGACCGCCGUAAUGAUUAAUAGGGAUAGUCGGGGGCAUCAGUAUUCAAUUGUCAGAGGUGAAAUUCUUGGAUUUAUUGAAGACUAACUACUGCGAAAGCAUUUGCCAAGGAUGUUUUCAUUAAUCAGUGAACGAAAGUUAGGGGAUCGAAGACGAUCAGAUACCGUCGUAGUCUUAACCAUAAACUAUGCCGACUAGGGAUCGGUGGAUGUUACUAUUUUGACUCCAUCGGCACCUUACGAGAAAUCAAAGUUUUUGGGUUC